rnacentral:lncRNA from 1 species
CUACAUAUGUUUAUCGAAAAAGGGUUUUAAAUAACCAGAGAGAGAUGAGAAUUGAAAAAAAAAAAAGAAUAUAGACAAUAUUAUGUCCAGAUGCAGUUUAUAGUUGAUGAGAGGUGGGUGGAUAAAGAGUAAAGAGUGUGAAAGAAAGGAAGGGUGAAGGGUGGCGCGGCGUGGCGAACCGUGAUUCUGGACAAGGCAUCAAUAGCGGACACCUAAGUCAACUCCACGUUAUGUUUUUUGAGGUUUUUUAGGUAAAACGGUAGCGGCUCGUCUCGUCACUGCUCGCCCCUUCGACCCCACACCAAAUCUAUAUUAAUUAUGAAACUUGUCUUUUCUUAAUACCCUUCCUUAAUACCACUACAUAUUUUAAUAAUACUUUUUCUUUAUUUUAAAUCAUUUUGUUACUUUCAUAAAUAUUUUCAAAUAUGGUUUAAUGUUUUAGCUUGACACCCGAAAUUUCUUUACAGUUAACUUUUCAUAUAUUCUCUAGUAGAGAGAAACUGUCGUGUUUCUUUAUUCUAACUAAUUUAAGAAAUAAAAUUUAAUAAGUACGAUUUUAUAUUGCUUUUAAGAUUGGAUAAUAAAUGCAUUAUCUCAUUUCAUUUCCGUUCUGGAUGAUGAUGAUGUAAUAAAAAAUAUAAAAUGAUAUGCAUAGAUAAGAAUAUUAAAAAUGAACAGCCAUUUCUUUUUUAAUUUAAACCGUGAAAUUGACGAAUUAAUUUUUUAUUAGAAGGUAGUAGCCACGAGCAAGCAUAAAAGACAACUCUAAAUGGAUCUGAAACGUCCUUACGAAUACCAAACGGGAUCGUUUUAAAGUGCGCCUCUUCGUCAUUCACAAAAAAUUAGUAAUUCCCCGUUUAAUAAUAAUAAUAAUCUUAAGAAAAAAAAUGUUUUCCAAUAUUUAAUUUUUUAUCCAUCUUUGUCAAUUUAUUUAUUCGUUCUAUGGAUUAUAUUUUAACAGUAAAUAAUUUAGUAGUAUAUAUUAACGUCAUUUCGUUUUGACUUGUAUUAGGUACAGCAUUGAGUUGAGAAACGGAACAGUUUUUGGAGAAAACGGGAAAGUGAAGAAGACGCGCUGGAGUAGAAGGUGUGAUGGACGCGCAGGAGCAAGACAGGAAUUUGCAUAGUAAAAUAUGUGGGUGUGGUGUGAAUUUCUAAACCCCGUUUGUUCCAUUUAGGAGAAUAAGCAUGGAAAGAAGAAGAGAGUAAUGGUUGUGGAUAGCUUUGUGUGUGAGUGCGUCCUUUUUAUUCUCUUGUCCUCUGCUACUGCCUUUACAACAAAAAUAAUACUAAUAUUUUAUUUCUCCCUCAACACAUUUUAUUUUAUUUUAUAACAAAUUAAAUUCCCAUUAUUUUUCUUCAAAAUACUCUAUUAAAAUUCUUAAUAUAGGCAUAAAGGCAUUCUAUUUCGAGAAUUAAUAUUCUUGUUAUGGUAUGUCCAAAAUUCAAAAUCAAUGUUUAAUAGUUUAUAACAAAAAUUCUUUUAAUUCAUAAAAAUAUCUUUUAAAAUAAAAUCGUGAUAAAAUUAAAAUAUUUUAAAAAAAAUACCUCAUAUGCUUUUGGUUAAUAUAAUAUUUUUUUCUAAAUAAAUUAAAAAGAAUCAUAUUUCACAUAACGAUACAAUCCUUGGGUUUAUGCAAUUUUGUAGGUCAUCCAUAAAACAAAAAAGUUAAGAGGAAUCUAUUCCCUUAUCUUGUAGAUCUCCCAGCCGUUGGAUCUUCACAGGUAAUCCCAUGGAAUUGGACUUGGACCGUUGGAUGGGAUCCUGUAGUGUCAGAUGGUCCCACCCGCACUCAUCGCCUCCACCGCCCACCCUUUUCAGCCAAAACCGGCUAAAGGCGAUUCAGGUUUGCUAGCCAUCACACUGUGGGCGCCCGCAUUGCAAGAGAAAAUUUUGCACCGUUGGAUCUGCUCAAUGGAGAUUAUGUUUUAACCAUCGAAGCGCGAAAUUUAGAAGGAAAAGUCAAAUUGGUUUCAUUUUCAGACACAGUUACAAAGUGCAAAAUAUUUAUAAUUAAUUAUUAAAAAAUUGUUUGGGAAUAUCAAGGAAAAAGAGGGGGUUUUUAAAGAAUAUACCUUUUGAUAUUCGGAUCCUAGAAUGCACGUGCCAUGUUUGAGGGUGAGUCAUCGAUGGGGUGGCUCAUCUCACACACACGCACACACAUGUCACCACUCACCAACACAACACAGCAUUUUCCAAAGAAGAUAAUAUAAAUAUAAUGUGUUGUUUUUGUUUUUGGAGAAAAUAUUGCGAAAUAGGAAAAGAAAGAAGCAAGAAAAAAAGUAGCAUGUGGAUCUGGACUCUGGACUUAGACCAUGUGUGCUUCUUUGUCCCACCAGAUCUUCCCUCUAUAUCUUAUUCUCACCACUUCCACUUGCACAGUUUCAACUUUUUCAAAAUAAAUUUUUUUAAUUAAUUUGUACAAUUAGGUAUCUUUACACUGUGCCCUACAACUCCAAACAUUACAUGAAAAAUUCAUUCAUCUUUGAAAGUUAACACACAUAGAACACAUGCUACAAAGCGGAAUGAAUACUACUUACAAUUACAAGAUAACAACACAAUAGAGCUUGAUAAAGAAAUAAUGGGUGAAGAAAUAGUGUUGAAAUAUCUGAAAAAUGUUUGUUUUGUUUAUUGUUUGAUUGAUGGGUGUGAGAUAAAUAUUUGUGGAAGGAGUUGAGAAAAUGGGAUUUGGAUGAGGGAGAUGAAAUGUAGAAAAAGGAAAGUGGGAAAAGAAUACAAGUGGAAGUAAAGGUUUGGAGGAAUGGGAAGGGUAGACUGAGAGUGACGUUUCUCCAUCCCCAAUUCUCCACAAACCACAAUCGUCCCUUUCACCACUUUAUGAUUCUUCUUCCAAUUCAAAGACCUUAGCAAUGGCUAAGGUAAUGCCACGUCUCCACAUGUUUUUUCAACAACAAAAAAUCUACCCUGCAAUCAAAGCAUAUUCUACCUUCAUUGUAACGAUUUUCCUGAAAUACAAGUAUUGCAUUCCAGACUAUUUACAGAUGUGAAUUGCUACACGUAGAAGAAAUAGUAUCACUUAAAAGAGAAACAAAAUUAUAUAAAAUCGAUUACUGAUUAUAACAUGUAAAUUGCCC